UACGGAGGGUGCAAGCGUUAUCCGGAUUUACUGGGUUUAAAGCGUGCGCAGGCGGUUGUGCAAGACCGAUGUGAAAUCCCCGGGCUUAACCUGGGAAUGGCAUUGGUGACUGCACGGCUAGAGUGUGUCAGAGGGGGGUAGAAUUCCACGUGUAGCAGUGAAAUGCGUAGAGAUGUGGAGGAAUACCGAUGGCGAAGGCAGCCCCCUGGGAUAACACUGACGCUCAUGCACGAAAGCGUGGGGAGCAAACAGG
rnacentral:rRNA from 1 species